CGCACCAUUUCUCCCCGCCCCAGUACAUACACUCACGCGUCAGAGCACGCACGCCACACUGCCCGGCAUCGACCCGCGGCCGAGUCGAAAACGUGCGUUUGUGUGUGACUGGAGGGUCGCUCCACGUGUCCAGCGCAUCCCUACACCCCUCAAAGCUGCUUUCAACACAUCCUUCUUUUCUGUCUUGCGUCGCUUGUAACGAUACUCCUCAUUUUGGCAUCUACAUCCAGAGACACACACACGCACACAGCGACAAGGUAGGCGCUUUUCUGUCGUCUUUAGUGUGGCAGUUUUCUCUUCCCCGAAUGCCGCCGAAGCGAAAAUUGGCGACGCGGAGCGGCGGCGCAGCUGCAAGCGCGUCACCUGUGGCCGCGCCGCAUGUCGACGGCAAGGAUAUCUGGUUGGCGACGGAUGCCCUGCAAAAGACGAAUGCGAUGCGCAACUACUUCCAACUUGAGCGGGACCGCAUCAUCGCCUUCUGGAACAUCUCCAAGAGGGAGCUCGAGGGCAUCAAGGAGUCGAUUCGCGAAAAGGAGCAGGAGAAGGCAGAGCAGGCGGAGCGGCAUGAGGUAGAGAAGCAAAUCUUCAAGCAGAAGAUCCGCCACCUACUGUACGAAAACCAGGUUCAGCUUUCCACCAUGAAGGAGGAGGCGCAGCGUGCGCUGACAAGUCGGGAGGAGGAGUGCCGGACGAAGGAGAGAAACGCUGCCCGCAACCUGCGCGACACCAAGCUGGCGGACCGUGAACUGGAGGUGCGGCAUCUAGAGCAGCAGCGCGCGCUGCUUACCCAGCAGGACAAGGAGAUUGCAGAGCAGCAAUCUAAUUUUGAGCGAGAGAUCAAGGAGAUGCACCUCCGGUACGAAGACUUGCUGAAGAGUGUGCGUGAGGAGAUGGACGAGGCCCGGAAAGAGGAGCUCGGCCGCAUCGAGGAGCGUAAGGAGAAGCACAUCGCGGAGCUGAGGGAGACCCACGAGCGCACCUUCAACGAGAUCAGGGACUACUUUAGCGAGAUCACCUCGAACAACUUAGAAACCAUUCGAACUCUCAAAGAUGAGGUUUACGCUCGAAAACGGACCGAAACCCACAAUGAGCGUGCCAUGUACGAAGUGGCGCAGCGGAACAAGAGACUCACCGAGCCACUCGCCAAACUGGAAAACCAGAAAAAGGUCCUCGGGUUGGAGCUGGAAAACUACCUGGCAGACAAGGAGGCCCUUGCUGAGGUGAAGCGGUCCGUCAAGGAUACUCAGCAGGAAAUCCAAACCGUCUCCUGGGAGCACGAGGUCCUCUCGCAGCGUUACGCGAAACUUGUCGAGGACCGUGAUAUCAUCUUGAAGAAGUACAACGCCAUGCUCCAAGACAUCCAACGCAAGUCAGCGUUCCGACGUGUGCUGAUCCAAAAGAAGCUGGAGCUGGUGCAGACGCAGUUGGAGGGACGCGAUGCGAAGCUGACGGAGUUGCUGAAGCGUGCGAACGUGAACCCGGAUGAAUUGAAGGAGCUGGAGCAGAAGGUGCACGACCUCAUCUCGGAGAAGGACAAGACGAUCGAGGACCUGAAGCAGCUGCUGUCCCGCCUCACCACCCAAAGCGAGCGCGUUGUCGCUACAUACGAGUCCUACAUGGAAAAUAAUGGUGUGUCGGGGUGGGUUGGCACCUCAGGCGCUGCAUCUGGGGCAGCGUCGAUUCGUGCAUG
rnacentral:misc_RNA from 1 species